UUUGAGUUGUCAUUCAACUUGUCAAGCUAACGUGUUUAACCUUGGGAUGAAUGCAGUCGCGGAGGGUCUCAGAUGGGCAAUUUGCGAUGGCUUUGUCUGACUUCCCGUCUAAGAACAGCUUGCUGCAAUAUCAGCCUUCAAAUUGCAUGUACCAUAGUCGGUAAAGUGUCAAAUUUAUGAGUUACAGAAAUCAUCUUUGUCCGUAAUGUUGUUCGCAUUUGCUGUUUUCUUCUUAGCGUACACAGCCGCAUAUUCCGCACAACAAUGUUCACCGGCUCUUCCGAUUUCCGUGCAGGGGAUGGGAGGAUAUGCUCCUAACCAGGCCGAUGGCAUAUGGUACGUGUACAGAAGAAUUGGCGGGAAUUAUUCCAGUGCAGCACAAAUACAAAUCACCAGCGUAGCGCCCUACUCUGACCCUGUCACCGGUCAACCGGCGAUGUUACAGUGGUGGCAAAUCUUCUCCGAUUUGCCGGGCACCUUGCCCUGCACGUUCCAGUU